rnacentral:tRNA from 1 species
CCUGGUGGUUCAGAUGAUAAAGCAUCUGCCUGCAACGCAGGAGACCCAGGUUCGAUUCCUGGGUCAGGA